AUGAAAAAAGGUCAUUUCCCCCUUCAUCUCCACUUCCAUUGUGCUGCCUCUGUUGGGUCUCAUCUAAUUUUCUGGCCACAAGCCAUAUUGUGCUACCACUUCCCAUGUUCUUGCUUCACUUCUCUCACAGUGAGGCAAUGGGAUCAGCCACAAAAUCCCUGCUUCCAGGCCUGCUGCUGGUUUCUGUGCUGCAUUUCAAAGAAUGAGAUUUCUGACAAAGCCAUGACCAAGAGCCAGGUGGUGGCCUGGGAGCCAGGCAGCACCUCCUGCAGAUGUGGUCAUCAGGGAUGGUGCUCCAGCUGUGCGGAUGAUCAAGGCUCACACUUGAGCUCAGCUCCUGGGUCUCCUUUUUUGGUGAUACUUUUUCCCAGACAGUGACCCAGACAGCCACGUGUAGGUGUCUCUGAGUACAGCUGGGGUUGGUGGGAGCCCUGCUCUCACAUCUCCAAAGCAUGGCCCUGUCCCCAGGGGUUUGGUGCCCUGAGGGAGCCUGUGGCUCUGCAGUGGCUCUGUGCCCACACCCUGGGGGCAGAGUCUGACCUCUUGGUGUCAAAGUCAAUCAGGCAAUUACAAACCAAGGUGCAGCAGCAGGUCCAAAAGGAAUUACGUCCUUCUCCUCUGCCACCCACAGAAGGCCAAUUCCUGUGGAUUCAUCCCUCUCUCAAGGCAACCGCACCAUGCUUGGUUAAAAUGGCUGCGACCUCCACAGCAGCCUCUGUGAUGUUCUAACCAUAUCAGGUGAUAAACAAAUCUCAAAUGAAGCUGCUGGGGCUCUGAGCCAUGAGCAAGCCCUUCAGCAUUACUGUCCAUAUUGCCCUUUUUGCAGCAUGUCCUUUAAUGCAGAAAGUGGCACUUAAAAUGGGCAGUCAUACUCAGAGGACCAACACUCUCACUUGUGAACCCUAUGUGAACCCAGGAAAAAAUCAAUAAGGGGUUUUAAAAGACCAGCAAAAUAGCAUUUAAUCUCCUCUGUGUCAGCAGAUCUGCAGAGCAGGUUUAGGGUUGUUUUGCAUCUGGGACUGAAAAAAAAAAAAAAGCCAUGUAGGAUUGCCUGCAGGUGAUUAGGUUUUGUUUUAAAACUUUAAACAAACAUUAAAAU